rnacentral:rRNA from 1 species
GAUGAACGUUGGCGGCGUGCCUAAUACAUGCAAGUCGAACGCGCAGCGAAAGGUGCUUGCACCUUUCAAGCGAGUGGCGAACGGGUGAGUAACACGUGGAUAACCUACCUCAAGGCUGGGGAUAACAUUUGGAAACAGAUGCUAAUACCGAAUAAAACUUAGUAUCGCAUGAUACCAGGUUAAAAGGCGCUACGGCGUCACCUAGAGAUGGAUCCGCGGUGCAUUAGUUAGUUGGUGGGGUAAAGGCUUACCAAGACAAUGAUGCAUAGCCGAGUUGAGAGACUGAUCGGCCACAUUGGGACUGAGACACGGCCCAAACUCCUACGGGAGGCUGCAGUAGGGAAUCUUCCACAAUGGGCGCAAGCCUGAUGGAGCAACGCCGCGUGUGUGAUGAAGGCUUUCGGGUCGUAAAGCACUGUUGUAUGGGAAGAAAUGCUAGAAUAGGGAAUGAUUUUAGUUUGACGGUACCAUACCAGAAAGGGACGGCUAAAUACGUGCCAGCAGCCGCGGUAAUACGUAUGUCCCGAGCGUUAUCCGGAUUUAUUGGGCGUAAAGCGAGCGCAGACGGUUGAUUAAGUCUGAUGUGAAAGCCCGGAGCUCAACUCCGGAAUGGCAUUGGAAACUGGUUAACUUGAGUGUUGUAGAGGUAAGUGGAACUCCAUGUGUAGCGGUGGAAUGCGUAGAUAUAUGGAAGAACACCAGUGGCGAAGGCGGCUUACUGGACAACAACUGACGUUGAGGCUCGAAAGUGUGGGUAGCAAACAGGAUUAGAUACCCUGGUAGUCCACACCGUAAACGAUGAAUACUAGGUGUUAGGAGGUUUCCGCCUCUUAGUGCCGAAGCUAACGCAUUAAGUAUUCCGCCUGGGGAGUACGACCGCAAGGUUGAAACUCAAAGGAAUUGACGGGGACCCGCACAAGCGGUGGAGCAUGUGGUUUAAUUCGAAGCAACGCGAAGAACCUUACCAGGUCUUGACAUCCUUUGAAGCUUUUAGAGAUAGAAGUGUUCUCUUCGGAGACAAAGUGACAGGUGGUGCAUGGUCGUCGUCAGCUCGUGUCGUGAGAUGUUGGGUUAAGUCCCGCAACGAGCGCAACCCUUAUUGUUAGUUGCCAGCAUUCAGUUGGGCACUCUAGCGAGACUGCCGGUGACAAACCGGAGGAAGGCGGGGACGACGUCAGAUCAUCAUGCCCCUUAUGACCUGGGCUACACACGUGCUACAAUGGCGUAUACAACGAGUUGCCAACCUGCGAAGGUGAGCUAAUCUCUUAAAGUACGUCUCAGUUCGGACUGCAGUCUGCAACUCGACUGCACGAAGUCGGAAUCGCUAGUAAUCGCGGAUCAGCACGCCGCGGUGAAUACGUUCCCGGGUCU